rnacentral:tRNA from 1 species
ACUUAAAUAGCUUAUAUUACAAGAGCAUAAUAUUGAAGAUAUUAAGGAAAUUUUAUAUUUUUAGGUG